AGGGUGACAGGUGGUGCAUGGUUGUCGGUCAGCUCGUGUCGUGAGAUGUUGGGUUAAGUCCCGCAACGAGCGCAACCCUCGACCUUAGUUGCCAGCAUUCAGUUGGGCACUCUAAGGUGACUGCCGGCUAAAAGUCGGAGGAAGGUGGGGAUGACGUCAAAUCAUCAUGCCCCUUAUGACCUGGGCUACACACGUGCUACAAUGGGCGGUACAAAGGGUCACGAACCCGCGAGGGGGAGCCAAUCCCAAAAAGCCGCUCUCAGUUCGGAUUGCAGGCUGCAACUCGCCUGCAUGAAGCCGGAAUCGCUAGUAAUCGCGGAUCAGCAUGCCGCGGUGAAUACGUUCCCGGGCCUU
rnacentral:rRNA from 1 species